GCGAGAGUGGCGGAACUGGCAGACGCGCACGUUUGAGGGGCGUGUGGAUUCUCCGUACGGGUUCAAGUCCCGUCUCUCGCACCA
rnacentral:tRNA from 1 species